UUUCAUAAAGUGAAUCACUUCACGUAAAAAUUUGAAUUUUAAAUUGAUGAAACCAUUUAUGAUAA
rnacentral:tRNA from 1 species